rnacentral:hammerhead_ribozyme from 1 species
AUCCAGCUGACGAGUCCAAGACAGGACGAAACGUAAUAGAU